rnacentral:misc_RNA from 1 species
GAUGAAGAACGCAGCGAAAUGCGAUAAGUAAUGUGAAUUGCAGAAUUCAGUGAAUCAUCGAAUCUUUGAACGCACAUUGCGCCCCCUGGUAUUCCGGGGGGCAUGCCUGUUCGAGCGUCAUUUCACCACUCAAGCCUCGCUUGGUAUUGGGCAUCGCGGUCCGCCGCGCGCCUCAAAUCGACCGGCUGGGUCUUCUGUCCCCUAAGCGUUGUGGAAACUAUUCGCUAAAGGGUGUUCGGGAGGCUACGCCGUAAAACAACCCCAUUUCUAAGGUUGACCUCGGAUCAGGUAGGGAUAUCCGCUGAACUUAAGCAUAUCAAUAAGCGGAGGA